rnacentral:rRNA from 1 species
AAAAUAACCAUGAUUCCCUCAGUAACGGCGAGUGAAGCGGGAAAAGCUCAAAUUUGAAAUCUGUCAACAUUUCUUUUGUUGUCCGAGUUGUAAUUUCAAGAAGCUGCUUUGAGUGUAGACGAUCGGUCUAAGUUCCUUGGAACAGGACGUCAGAGAGGGUGAGAACCCCGUCUUUGGUCGAUUGGAUAUGCCAUAUAAAGCGCUUUCGAAGAGUCGAGUUGUUUGGGAAUGCAGCUCUAAAUGGGUGGUAAAUUUCAUCUAAAGCUAAAUAUUGGCGAGAGACCGAUAGCGAACAAGUAGAGUGAUCGAAAGAUGAAAAGAACUUUGAAAAGAGAGUUAAAUAGUACGUGAAAUUGCUGAAAGGGAAGCAUUGGAAAUCAGUCUUACCUGGGUGAGAUCAGUAGUCUCUUCGCGAGACUAUGCACUCUGAACCUGUGGUAGGUCAGCAUCAGUUUUCGGGGGCGGAAAAAGAAUAAGGGAAGGUGGCUUUCCGGGUUCUGCCUGGGGAGUGUUUAUAGCCCUUGUUGUAAUACGUCCACUGGGGACUGAGGACUGCGGCUUCGUGCCAAGGAUGCUGACAUAAUGGUUUUCAAUGGC